UACGAAGGGGGCUAGCGUUGCUCGGAAUUACUGGGCGUAAAGCGUGCGCAGGCGGCUUUGCAAGACAGAUGUGAAAUCCCCGGGCUCAACCUGGGAACUGCAUUUGUGACUGCAUGGCUGGAGUGCGGCAGAGGGGGAUGGAAUUCCGCGUGUAGCAGUGAAAUGCGUAGAUAUGCGGAGGAACACCGGUGGCGAAGGCAAUCCCCUGGGCCUGCACUGACGCUCAUGCACGAAAGCGUGGGGAGCAAACAGG
rnacentral:rRNA from 1 species